rnacentral:SRP_RNA from 1 species
UGGUGAGGGCUAUACGGCCAGCUCCUUUUUAAUCCCCCAGGGUGGAAACGCAGCAAGGGUAGAAAGUUGAGCGGUUGGUAUAGUUCCUCACUUUCU